rnacentral:rRNA from 1 species
GACGAACGCUGGCGGCGUGCCUAAUACAUGCAAGUAGAACGCUGAAGAGAGGAGCUUGCUCUUCUUGGAUGAGUUGCGAACGGGUGAGUAACGCGUAGGUAACCUGCCUGGUAGCGGGGGAUAACUAUUGGAAACGAUAGCUAAUACCGCAUAAAAUGGAUUAUCGCAUGAUAAUCCAUUGAAAGGUGCCAAUGCAUCACUACCAGAUGGACCUGCGUUGUAUUAGCUAGUUGGUGGGGUAACGGCUCACCAAGGCGACGAUACAUAGCCGACCUGAGAGGGUGAUCGGCCACACUGGGACGGAGACACGGCCCAGACUGCUACGGGAGGCAGCAGUAGGGAAACGGCGGCAAGGGACGGAAGUCUGACCGAGCAACGCCGCGUGAGUGAAGAAGGGUGUCGGAUCGUAAAGCUCGGUUGUAAGAGAAGAACGAGUGUGAGAGUGGAAAGUUCACACUGUGACGGUAUCUUACCAGAAAGGGACGGCUAACUACGUG